rnacentral:rRNA from 1 species
UACGUAGGGUGCGAGCGUUGUCCGGAAUUAUUGGGCGUAAAGGGCUCGUAGGCGGUUUGUCGCGUCGGGAGUGAAAUCCACUGGCUUAACUGGUGGCUUGCUUUCGAUACGGGCAGACUAGAGGUAGGCAGGGGAGAGCGGAACUCCUGGUGUAGCGGUGGAAUGCGCAGAUAUCAGGAAGAACACCGGUGGCGAAGGCGGCUCUCUGGGCCUUACCUGACGCUGAGGAGCGAAAGCGUGGGGAGCGAACAGG